rnacentral:rRNA from 1 species
UGCAGUCGACGAGAAGGGUAGCAAUACCUGAGUAAAGUGGCGCACGGGUGAGUAACACGUGACUAACCUACCUUUUAGUGGGGGAUAACCUAGGGAAACCUGGGCUAAUACCGCAUAACACUUACGAGUCAAAGCAGCAAUGCGCUGAAAGAGGGGGUCGCGGCCGAUUAGCUAGUUGGCGGGGUAAUGGCCCACCAAGGCAGUGAUCGGUAUCCGGCCUGAGAGGGCGCACGGACACACUGGAACUGAAACACGGUCCAGACUCCUACGGGAGGCAGCAGUGGGGAAUUUUGCGCAAUGGGGGAAACCCUGACGCAGCAACGCCGCGUGGAGGAUGAAGUCCCUUGGGACGUAAACUCCUUUCGAUCGGGACGAUAAUGACGGUACCGGAAGAAGAAGCCCCGGCUAACUUCGUGCCAGCAGCCGCGGUAAUACGAGGGGGGCAAGCGUUGUUCGGAAUUAUUGGGCGUAAAGGGUGCGUAGGUGGUUCGGCAAGUCUUGUGUGAAAUCUUCAGGCUCAACUUGAAGUCUGCAUAAGAAACUGCCGGGCUUGAGUAUGGGAGAGGUGAGUGGAAUUUCCGGUGUAGCGGUGAAAUGCGUAGAUAUCGGAAGGAACACCUGUGGCGAAAGCGGCU